GGCGCCAUACCCAAGCGGUUAAGGGGCGAGAUUAGAAUUAUUCGAUCAUCUCGUACGCGUAGCGUGCGUCGGUUCAAAUCCGGCUGGCGUCG
rfam:Calocera cornea HHB12733 unplaced genomic scaffold CALCOscaffold_56, whole genome shotgun sequence.